AAUAUCAGAACAGCGAUUACUCACCUCGAACUGGACAAAGAUGUAUUAUUUAUUUAAUGACUAAGACGCGAAGGACAUAAUGUUGCUCCCAGACAAGGCCCAAAUCUAUGGAACGCCGUUUGGGUCUUAAAGCACAUGGUCAAAACAUGAUCUUUUUAAUGCUACGUGUGUGAAGUAAACAGGUGGAGGCUCUAAAUUAACAUCUUCACGGGCUAAAUUAAUGCCUACACGCGUCAAAUAAGCAUGUGCAAAUAUGUUUGCAGGUGGUUCAACAUGUGCUAAAUAAACGUCUGCAAGCGGUCCUGCACACGUCAAGUUAACGCCUACAGCUGCUAAAUAUACACCUACACACGCUAACUUAACGCAUUCUUUAAUAUGCUAAUUUUACUAGCCAAUUUCCCUCCCUCCUCCUUUCAACCAGAUUUCACAGUUUGAAGGAACUUCCUUUUCCACUGCAAGCAGAGUUUGAACCUUUACAAGAAGGGAACCAUGAAGAGGAGCUUGGAGUGGGCAAGGGGGAUGCUGAUAAAGCAGCAGAGAAGACCUGAUUCAUCAAGUAUCAAUUAAUUCUGGUGAUUCUCACCUGGUUGGCAUGCAUGCACAACAUGACAAGGUGUACAACAUUAAGCCCAAUCAAAUAUCCAAUGUUAUUCAAACAUGUAUCCCAAUUUACAGUCAAGCAACGUUUGUCAGCUGUGUUAAUGUUAUGAACUACAAACAAUCUAUGGUUCUUGGAGUCAAUGAAUCAAUUGAAAGGGACUACAAUUAGACAUUUUUAAACUGUGCCAGUAAAGAUGACAAAGUCAUCUGCUCUUAUGGUUAUGUUUACGUUUUUUCCAGACACUUCAAUCUGACACUCUUGUUAAUGUUUGACGUCAGGCAAAACAUCUUCAGCCACUGUAGGACGGAGAGCCGCUGGUUGGCAUUUGACUGCAGUGUCUGUGGGUGUACCAGGAAAGGACGUUAGAAGUUAGGUCCCUAUGAUAUCAAUGCUUCUUACCAUCUCCACUGCAGCCCAGUCGAUAUCAAUUUAAAAAAACUGGAACAAUAGAUAGUGUAGCACAAUGUACAACUCCAGUUUGCCUAUUGUCCCAACAAAUGUCAAUUAUACAUUUUUACAUACGUCAGAGUGCAUUUUAUUUUAUAGCUCUGCUUUCAACGCCAUCCUGACCCACAAACUGGUUUGCAGACUCAGGGCUCUGGGUGUAAAUCCUGUAAUAACAAAUUUCGAUUUUUUACAUUAUCAUAAGAAUGUGUAUCCCCAGAAUUGACGUGACACUACCAUGGUACACAUGAGUACAUGAAGGAGCUGUGGGACCCAACACUACCAUGGUACACAUGAGUACAUGAAGCAGCUCUGGGACCUGACACUACCAUGGUACACAUGAGUACAUGAAGGAGCUGUGGGACCCGACACUACCAUGGUACACAUGAGUACAUGAAGGAGCUGUGGGACCCGACACUACCAUGGUACACAUGAGUACAUGAAGGAGCUGUGGGACCUGACAUAAUGAUGAUAGGACAACAGUCUCAGCGUAAACAAAACAAAGUACAUGGUGAUACUUGACCAUUCUCCCAUCUACUGUACAUUGACAUGGAGAUGAUCAGCAGCUUCAAGUUCCUGGGCACCCUGAUAUCCUUUUCUGCCUUCAGUUACUUCACUCAAAGUCCCACUUGUGCUUCUCCACUACCCUCAAACUUGCUCCACCACGACCUAUGUACCAACUACAGUGUCUUUUAUUGCCAUUACACAUGUAAAUGAAAUGUACAUAUUUACGGUAGGAUUUAUUUAUGGUAACAUUGCACAUAUUGUAACAGUCCCUUGACAUACAUGACUUAACUAUGCAUAAUGCUCAGUUUACCCACUAAGAAAUCAUACAUUUAUUAAAUCUGCAUUAUUUA